rnacentral:rRNA from 1 species
UACGUAGGUGGCAAGCGUUGUCCGGAUUUACUGGGCGUACAGCGCGCGCAGGCGGCCUCGUAUGUGACCGGUGACAUCCUCGGGCUCAACCCGAGGCGGCCCGGUUAGACAGCGGAGCUGGAGGCAGGGAGAGGGAUGUGGAAUACCCGGUGGAGCGGUGAAAUGCGUAGAGAUCGGGUGGAACACCAGCGGCGAAGGCGGCAUCCUGGCCCUGACCUGACGCUGAGGCGCGAUAGCGUGGGGAGCAAACGGG